GCAUCAGCUCUGGCUGCGUGCUUUUAAAUGCAAGUCGCACCCUGGUAACCGUAACUUGCUGUUGGUGGAUGAUUGGCGAACGGGUGAGUAACACGUGAGUAACCUGCCCCUGAUUUCGGGAUAAGCCUGGGAAACCGGGUCUAAUACCGGAUACGACCAUCCCUCGCAUGAGGGUUGGUGGAAAGUUUUUCGAUCGGGGAUGGGCUCGCGGCCUAUCAGCUUGUUGGUGGGGUAAUGGCCUACCAAGGCGACGACGGGUAGCCGGCCUGAGAGGGCGACCGGCCACACUGGGACUGAGACACGGCCCAAACUCCUACGGGAGGCAGCAGUGGGGAAUAUUGCACAAUGGGGGAAACCCUGAUGCAGCGACGCAGCGUGCGGGAUGACGGCCUUCGGGUUGUAAACCGCUUUCAGCAGGGAAGAAGCGAAAGUGACGGUACCUGCAGAAGAAGUACCGGCUAACUACGUGCCAGCAGCCGCGGUAAUACGUAGGGUACGAGCGUUGUCCGGAAUUAUUGGGCGUAAAGAGCUCGUAGGUGGUUGGUCACGUCUGCUGUGGAAACGCAACGCUUAACGUUGCGCGUGCAGUGGGUACGGGCUGACUAGAGUGCAGUAGGGGAGUCUGGAAUUCCUGGUGUAGCGGUGAAAUGCGCAGAUAUCAGGAGGAACACCGGUGGCGAAGGCGGGACUCUGGGCUGUAACUGACACUGAGGAGCGAAGCAUGGGGGAGCGACAAGGAUUAGAUACCCUGGUAGUCCAUGCCGUAAACGUUGGGCACUAGGUGUGGGGGAACUUCUACGGUCUCCGCGCCGUACUACGCAUAAGUGCCCGCCUGGGGGAGUACGGCGCAAGGCUAACUCAAAGGAAUUGACG
rnacentral:rRNA from 1 species